GCCUUCCGUGGUUGAGGUGGAAUGCGUACUGACAUCACCGCUAUCGAUCAGUGGCGUUUCGAUUUGGCCCACACUCGGGUUCGCUUUCCGCGGGUCUUCCGUCUCCUGAAAACAAUAUAUAUAGGUGUGAACGAAACAUAAUAAUAUGCGGUCGAUGAUAAACUAGAUAUAUCUACUACAAUGCGAUUACUCAUGAAAAUAUCCGCCGCGGCUAAUUCGAACCGAUCAGAACCGGACGUCCGCGAACAUGUCGCGCAGGUUUUUCCGGGCGUCGCCGUAGUACUCAGACCGGAAAAACACGUCAACCGCCCGCAACGGGUCCCGGG